UAUGGCCAUACCACUCUGAAUGUCCCUGAUCUUGUCUGGGACAAGCCAAGCAGGGUUGGGCCUGGUUAGUACUUGGAUGGGAGAUUGCCUAGGAAUACU
rnacentral:rRNA from 1 species